UAGGAUGCGCUAAAGGGUCGUGAGGGC
rnacentral:piRNA from 1 species